UACGGAGGGAGCUAGCGUUGUUCAGAAUUACUGGGCGUAAAGCGCACGUAGGCGGCUUUGUAAGUUAGAGGUGAAAGCCUGGAGCUCAACUCCAGAACUGCCUUUAAGACUGCAUCGCUUGAAUCCAGGAGAGGUGAGUGGAAUUCCGAGUGUAGAGGUGAAAUUCGUAGAUAUUCGGAAGAACACCAGUGGCGAAGGCGGCUCACUGGACUGGUAUUGACGCUGAGGUGGCGAAAGCGUGGGGAGCAAACAGG
rnacentral:rRNA from 1 species